rnacentral:rRNA from 1 species
AGCGAACGCUGGCGGUAGGCCUAACACAUGCAAGUCGAACGGCAGCACAGUAAGAGCUUGCUCUUACGGGUGGCGAGUGGCGGACGGGUGAGGAAUACAUCGGAAUCUACUUUUUCGUGGGGGAUAACGUAGGGAAACUUACGCUAAUACCGCAUACGACCUACGGGUGAAAGCAGGGGAUCUUCGGACCUUGCGCGAUUGAAUGAGCCGAUGUCGGAUUAGCUAGUUGGCGGGGUAAAGGCCCACCAAGGCGACGAUCCGUAGCUGGUCUGAGAGGAUGAUCAGCCACACUGGAACUGAGACACGGUCCAGACUCCUACGGGAGGCCGCAGUGGGGAAUAUUGGGCAAUGGGGGCGAGCCUGAUCCAGCCAUACCGCGUGGGUGAAGAAGGCCUUCGGGUUGUAAAGCCCUUUUGUUGGGAGAGAAAAGCAGCAGGUUAAUACCCCGCUGUUCUGACGGUACCCAAAGAAUAAGCACCGGCUAACUUCGUG